rnacentral:rRNA from 1 species
UAGGGAAUAUUGGACAAUGGGCGGAAGCCUGAUCCAGCCAUGCCGCGUGGAGGAAGAAUGCCCUCUGGGUUGUAAACUCCUUUUGAAAGGGAAGAAACCUCUCUAUUUAUGGAUGAGCUGACGGUACCUUUCGAAUAAGCACCGGCUAACUCCGUGCCAGCAGCCGCGGUAAUACGGAGGGUGCAAGCGUUAUCCGGAUUUACUGGGUUUAAAGGGUGCGUAGGCGGGCCGAUAAGUCAGUGGUGAAAUACCCGUGCUCAACAUGGGAAUUGCCAUUGAUACUGUUGGUCUUGAAUAUGAGUGAGGCAGGCGGAAUGAUGCAUGUAGCGGUGAAAUGCUUAGAUAUGUUUCAGAACACCUAUUGCGAAGGCAGCUUGCUAAUUCAUGAUUGACGCUGAGG